AACAUACAAAGUCAAGCAGUGGAGCGCUUUGGGGUGGGGUGACUGCGUACCUUUUGUAUAAUGGGUCAGCGACUUAUAUUCUGUAGCAAGGUUAACCGAAUAGGGGAGCCGGAGGGAAACCGAGUCUUAAUUGGGCGUUAAGUUGCAGGGUAUAGACCCGAAACCCGGUGAUCUAGCCAUGGGCAGGUUGAAGGUUGGGUAACACUAACUGGAGGACCGAACCGACUAAUGUUGAAAAAUUAGCGGAUGACCUGUGGCUGGGGGUGAAAGGCCAAUCAAACCGGGAGAUAGCUGGUUCUCCCCGAAAGCUAUUUAGGUAGCGCCUCGUGAAUUCAUCUCCGGGGGUAGAGCACUGUUUCGGCUAGGGGGCCAUCCCGGCUUACCAACCCGAUGCAAACUGCGAAUACCGGAGAAUGUUAUCACGGGAGACACACGGCGGGUGCUAACGUCCGUCGUGAAGAGGGAAACAACCCAGACCGCCAGCUAAGGUCCCAAAGUCAUGGUUAAGUGGGAAACGAUGUGGGAAGGCCCAGACAGCCAGGAUGUUGGCUUAGAAGCAGCCAUCAUUUAAAGAAAGCGUAAUAGCUCACUGGUCGAGUCGGCCUGCGCGGAAGAUGUAACGGGGCUAAACCAUGCACCGAAGCUGCGGCAGCGACGCUUAUGCGUUGUUGGGUAGGGGAGCGUUCUGUAAGCCUGUGAAGGUGGCCUGUGAGGGUUGCUGGAGGUAUCAGAAGUGCGAAUGCUGACAUAAGUAACGAUAAAGCGGGUGAAAAGCCCGCUCGCCGGAAGACCAAGGGUUCCUGUCCAACGUUAAUCGGGGCAGGGUGAGUCGACCCCUAAGGCGAGGCCGAAAGGCGUAGUCGAUGGGAAACGGGUUAAUAUUCCCGUACUUGGUGUUACUGCGAAGGGGGGACGGAGAAGGCUAUGUUGGCCGGGCGACGGUUGUCCCGGUUUAAGCGUGUAGGUGUGUGUUCCAGGUAAAUCCGGUUCACUUUAACACUGAGGCGUGACGACGAGGCACUACGGUGCUGAAGCAACAAAUGCCCUGCUUCCAGGAAAAGCCUCUAAGCAUCAGGUAACAUCAAAUCGUACCCCAAACCGACACAGGUGGUCAGGUAGAGAAUACCAAGGCGCUUGAGAGAACUCGGGUGAAGGAACUAGGCAAAAUGGUGCCGUAACUUCGGGAGAAGGCACGCUGACACGUAGGUGAAGUGAUUUACUCAUGGAGCUGAAGUCAGUCGAAGAUACCAGCUGGCUGCAACUGUUUAUUAAAAACACAGCACUGUGCAAACACGAAAGUGGACGUAUACGGUGUGACGCCUGCCCGGUGCCGGAAGGUUAAUUGAUGGGGUCAGCGCAAGCGAAGCUCCUGAUCGAAGCCCCGGUAAACGGCGGCCGUAACUAUAACGGUCCUAAGGUAGCGAAAUUCCUUGUCGGGUAAGUUCCGACCUGCACGAAUGGCGUAAUGAUGGCCAGGCUGUCUCCACCCGAGACUCAGUGAAAUUGAACUCGCUGUGAAGAUGCAGUGUACCCGCGGCAAGACGGAAAGACCCCGUGAACCUUUACUAUAGCUUGACACUGAACAUUGAGCCUUGAUGUGUAG
rnacentral:rRNA from 1 species